AUCCGACGAUCAACAGCGCGCCAAGGAUGAGUUCGAUCGUGCCGGCAGCGACGAUCAACGGCGGGAUGUUGGCGAAGUAAGGCAGCACUGGAAACUUGAAGAUCUUGGCCACGCCGUACUGAAACAGCAGCAGGCCGGUGAUGAUGCGCAGCACGCUGAGAAGCUGCGGCUGGUACGGCGCGAGAAAUCUGAAGUCCAUGGAAGUCCCCCUGUUUAAUUCCACACACUUUGUUAUCGCGCCGUCCGGCCAAGUGAAAGAUGGUCCACGCCCGACUCAAUGACGAUUUCGUGGGCCGAUCUGGAAUAAUUCGCAAAGCGCAGUGUUACGCGUGUGCCCUGGUUUCCGGCUGGAAACCGCUACUUCUUCUCCGGCUCGCUCUGCGGAAUGUCCGUGCCAACGCAGCGGAUGGCCUUGGGCUGACAGGCAAACCCGAUGUUGGAGCAGUUUGGUCCC
rnacentral:misc_RNA from 1 species